rnacentral:lncRNA from 1 species
GAGAACACUGGUGCUCCGAGGAUUUUGGCCCCGCGCUUCAACAAACGCAUUGGCGUCCUCCUCCACGGCUAUAUAAUACGGUACGCCAGAGCCAUACCAUCCCGUCGAGCCCAACCCAGGACCCGCCACGGGUGAAGCAGAGGAGAUCGUCUCCAUAGCUACUCCUUGUCUGGGCACGAGACUGAUGCCGGUGAAGUACUCGAGACAGUUCGUGGUGGCGCGCUACAUGUGGUCGUGGCCUUCUCGGGCGACGUAGUCCACCAGAGCACUACCAAUUGCUCACCAGAGAAAUUUAGCCACCGUGGAUCCGCUCCUCGCCGUGAAUGAAGUCCGGCAUGACAAAACCAUGGGUAAGGAAUCAUCCAUGAAGUUUGGAUCCUCUCUUCAUCGUGUAGAAUUAUUUGGGUGGGGAUUUGGGGGCUGGGGGCGUCGAGCGCCUUCAAUCUAGCCAGCCGCCGCAUGCAGGGGCGACGCCGCCUCAUCCGACCUGUGUGGUGAGGGUGGAUCGGGUGCCAUUGUAUUCCCUAUUAGACGAUUGAGAAUAGAGAUGGUAUAACUUUUUGGUUGUUUUAAAUCAUGACUGUCAGAUCUUGAGGUGUGGUUAAGAUUAUAACCUAGCAUAUCCCUUCGUCGGUGUUUUAUGGGUCAUCGAUCUUCGUAUCAACGACCUCAGUUGCAUACCGGUUCGUGGUCUGGUUCUUGCCAUGGAUAUCAGAUCCAAUGGCCAGAUCAAGACCGUGUGUAAGCCGCCGCGACAACGUUGCUAAAAAACCCUGGAAUCUUUACAAAUCAACUCGUAGUCCAGGUUAGUAUUAAAACCAUUACAGAGAGGCCCUAGAAUUAAUGAAAACAACCCUGAAUCCUCGAAUAUUUAUGCUCGCGGCCCAGCAUACGCAAUAUACUUAUAAAUAAAUUCUGAAAAUGGUUUCCAUUAUAAAAACAAUUCAUAGAUAUUGGAAAACCCCAUAACUUCUUCAUUUUAACUAUGUUUUAGUCUGUUCCAGUUGCGUUAGCUUCGUAAUAAAUUUUCCUACACAUUAAAAGCAUUAUUUCUAUCAUCCUACAUACUAUCAUAAUUAGAUAUUUAUUUAACUUAUGUUUAUUAGACUAACUCUUCUAAUCGAGGCUAAUAUGUUUAUAAUUAUAAAUUUUACUAAAAUAUUAUCUCUAAUCAAGUUAUAAUGAGGUAUCUCAUUAGAUUAUCUUUCUCACAUGAUUUAUAAGAUCAACGUAAGACCUAGUUUUAAUUGCUUAAUCACAUAGGUCUUCCGAAAACCAUAUCUCUUUAACCACAACUCUGAUUUCAGUGAUUCUCAAACCCAUGAUCUCGUAGUAGCGCAUAGAAUAUUCUUAAGUUGUUUGUUCUCGUGAUUGGUGUACUGUUAUUUUUAUGUACUUCUUGUUUAUUUGUAUGUAUUGCUAUGAGUAGCAGUGAGGUCACGAGAAUCUGAAGACCAGCUUGGGAAAGUACUUUGGAUCUUGAGUCUAAGGCAAGUUGUGCCCUUGAUCACUCUUUUUUACCUAAUAAUGUUCUCCAUUAAUCAAUGUGACUUACUCAGGUUAAAUUGAUGUGACCUAAUAGGUUUCCCUAGUUUUGUUUACCGCACCCUUGCAGACAUAUGAACUAUUGGGUAGACUUGCUACUACUCUACCUAGGUUUGGGAUUAAUGUUAUAUUUAAAUUAUGAUCAUGUUCUAAUUAUGCUGUUAUUUUAAUUAUUAUUCAUGACAAGAUCAUUGUGUUGAUUGGAACAUGGAGCUUAACUUGAGAUAACCGUGCUAACACAAGGGUGGAAUGGGACACACUUGACUGACUAAUUAGGAAAGCUAGUGGAGGACUACCUUACCCGAUAGGGGCAAGGGCGGUAGAGGAGUUGCGGUAUAGGAAGGUUCUCAGGUUGAUCACGGUGCGAUGGCUUUUUGAACGAGAGAUUCCUAUAUUGCCCUUCUCAGAAACUGUAGCAGGUUUUUAGAAGCUAGUGGAACUUUGUAAAGGCCUCGUAGUGCUACCCUGCCUCGUCUCCUCGACAAAGAUGAAUGGGAAGUCGCGAUCCCUUGGCAAAUGGGUAACACGACUUGUGGUUAAAGGGCACAACCUCUGCAGAGUGUAAAACUGGUAUAUCAGCCGUGCUCACGGUCAAGAGCGACUCAGGACUCUCGCAUGAUUAAUUGUGGGUCUUAUUAUUAUUUGUGAUCUCUUAUUUAUUUGGGUUGGUAUCUACUUAUACUUAGUAACUGGUAAUAAAAUUUUGACCAACUUUAAAAGCAACGCUUAGCUUUAACCAUCCCCUUUGGUAAGCCUUACACUUCACAUGAGCCCCACUGUAAGUGAGCUCAUGCACAUUAUUCCCCACAACUUGUUGAGCGAUGAACAUAUUUGAGCUCACCCUUGAUGUGCUCACAUCCCCUAGGUCAAGGACAAGUACUACAAGAUGAGGAGCAUGAUUCGUCGCAAUGAGUUCGUGAGAGGUCUAGGCCAUCGUCUUCUAGUCAACUAUGAUUGUUGGAUCAUCGUCUUUGUAUGAUGUAAUUAUUUAGUUAUUUUGUACAGAACUCCAUUAUUAUUAAAGAUGUGACAAUCGUUUCUGUACCAUGAGUCAUCAUAUGUGUGAGCCUUGAUCCCAGCACACAUUUGAUUCGCGCCCGAGUUUGCCCCUUAAAUCUGAGUGUGACAGAAGUGCUAUCAGAGGAAUGUUGACUGUAGGAUGAAACCUAGAUAGAACUGGUUAACCCUUAUCUACUUACCUUUGUUACUCAGAUUUUUUCUAAACUUUCCUUAAUCUUUUCUCAUCUAUUGCUGCUUUACUCUGAUUACUCUUACCUUUCCUCUUCUAAAGACAAAAGUGGAUUUCGCACUUUGAAAUCCUGUACCUAAAGUGACCUUUAGGAAUAGGAGACCUAAUCUUAGGAACAAAAACAAAACUAUUUUUGUAGGUAUCUAUACGCUUGAAUGUUUGUUCUUAUGAUAACUGUUUGAUUUGGUUCUUUGAUU